rnacentral:rRNA from 1 species
AGGGCAAGUCUGGUGCCAGCAGCCGCGGUAAUUCCAGCUCCAAUAGCGUAUAUUAAAGUUGUUGCAGUUAAAAAGCUCGUAGUUGAAUUUCGGGGUUAGUAGGUUGGUCAUGCCUCAGGUAUGUACUGAUCUCACUGAUUCCUCCUUCCUGAUGAACCGUAAUGCCAUUAAUUUGGUGUUGCGGGGAAACUGGACUGCUACUUUGAAAAAAUUAGAGUGUUUAAAGCAGGCUAACGCUUGAAUACAUUAGCAUGGAAUAAUGAGAUAGGACGUUCGAUCCUAUUUUGUUGGUUUCUAGGAUUGACGUAAUGAUUAAUAGGGAUAGUUGGGGGCAUUAGUAUUCAAUUGUCAGAGGUGAAAUUCUUGGAUUUAUUGAAGACUAACUACUGCGAAAGCAUUUGCCAAGGAUGUUUUCAUUAAUCAAGAACGAAAGUUAGGGGAUCGAAGACGAUCAGAUACCGUCGUAGUCUUAACCAUAAACUAUGCCGACUAGGGAUCGGAUGAUGUUAAUUUUUUAAUGACUCAUUCGGCGCCUUACGGGAA